GAUCUUAGCUUUGAAAUGUCAAUAAAGACUUGAAAUUAUAAAUGAGGGUUGGCUGGCUGACAUAUAUAAUAUGAAGGUUCUUUUUAUAUGGAAAGAAGGCAUGUACAAGUUAUCUGGACUAGGCUUCCAAAUCUUUCUGUGUUCCAAGCCCCCAGAAUACAUCAUUUGAAGAUCUUGAAGACAUCAGCUAUUUCCUUUGAACUCGGGUCAUGACAGGAUCCAACUUCAUGUUUCCCACUGGGAUAUACAUGUGGAUUCCAGACUAGAUUUACAGGGAUGAGAGCCCAGAGCAGCAGGAAUUAGG